rnacentral:rRNA from 1 species
GACGUAGGGCGCGAGCGUUGUCCGGAUUUAUUGGGCGUAAAGAGCUCGUAGGCGGCUCAUUGCGUCAACCGUGAAAACCAGCAGCUCAACUGUUGGCUUGCGGUUGAUACGGGUGGGCUGGAGUUCGGUAGGGGAGACUGGAAUUCCUGGUGUAGCGGUGAAAUGCGCAGAUAUCAGGAGGAACACCUAUGGCGAAGGCAGCUCGCUGGGACGUGACUGACGCUGAGACGCGAAAGCGUGGGGAGCAAACAGG